GUGGGACUCUUGGAAAAAAUGGAAAAAAGGAUAAAGGAUAUGGAAGAAAGCAUUAGAGAAGUAAAGAGAAAGAAAAUUUUGAGAGAUCAGGCAGACUACAAAACACAGACACAGAGAAAUUGGAAAAAAGAUUCAAGGUUCAGACAAUAUUCUCCAAACCAGGAUAACAAUAGAUCUAAGCUAAGAUCACAGUAUCAUCACAAGAUAUAUAGAGAUGCUCCUACAAUCUAUCAAUCCCCGAUGAGGACAUAUCCACGGAACUAUCCACAUAAUAGUUAUGUAGACCCAAAAAGAAAUGACAAUAGGAAUGACAGAUACC